rnacentral:rRNA from 1 species
AAUCGCAGAUCAGCAUGCUGCGGUGAAUACGUUCCCGGGCCUUGUACACACCGCCCGUCACACCAUGGGAGUCGGUAACACCCGAAGUCGGUAGCCUAACCGUAAGGAGGGCGCCGCCGAAGGUGGGAUUGAUGACUGGGGUGAAGUCGUAACAAGGUACC